UGACCUUGACCUCAUUUUCAUGGUUCAGUGGUCAAAGUUAAGUUUUUGAGUUUUGGUCUUUUUAUCUAAUACUCUAUGCCAUAGGUCAACUAUAUUUGGUGUAUGGAAUAUUUUUAUGAUUUUAUGUCAAUCGCACAGGUUUUAUUUGACCUUGACCUCAUUUUCACGGUUCAUUGCACAGUGUUAAGGUUUUGUGUUUUGGUCUAUUUUUCUUAAACUAUAAGUAAUCGGUCAACUAUAUAUGUUGUAUAGAAGCAUUGUUAGCUGUACAUGUCUGCCUGGCAUGG
rnacentral:lncRNA from 1 species